rnacentral:rRNA from 1 species
CUGGCUCAGAACGAACGCUGGCGGCGCGUCUUAAGCAUGCAAGUCGAACGGCAAGAGGUAGCAAUACCUCCUAGAGUGGCGGACUGGUGAGUAACACGUGGGUGACAUACCCUUCAGAUGGGGAUAGCUAUUAGAAAUAGUAGAUAAUACCGAAUACGAGCACAGGGGGUUAGAGAUCUGUGAGGAAAGGAGCUAAGGCUCCGCUGAAGGAAUGGCCUGCGGCCCAUUAGCUAGUUGGUGAGGUAAGAGCCCACCAAGGCGAUGAUGGGUAUCCGGCCUUAGAGGGUGAACGGACACAUUGGGACUGAGAUACGGCCCAGACUCCUACGGGAGGCAGCAGCUAAGAAUAUCCGCAAUGGACGAAAGUCUGACGGAGCGACGCCGCGUGGAUGAAGAAGGCCGGAAGGUUGUAAAAUCCUUUUGAAACUGAAGAAUAAGCGUUGUAGGGAAUGACAGCGUGGUGACAGUAGGUUUUGAAUGAGCAACGGCUAAUUACGUGCCAGCAGCAGC